AUGCUCGACACCUACGGGGGCAGCAGUGAGGAAUAUUGGUCAAUGGGCGCUAGCCUGAACCAGCCAAGUAGCGUGAAGGAUGAAGGCUCUAUGGGUCGUAAACUUCUUUUAUAUAAGAAUAAAGUGCAGUAUGUAUACUGUUUUGUAUGUAUUAUAUGAAUAAGGAUCGGCUAACUCCGUGCCAGCAGCCGCGGUAAUCUGAGCGGGCUGGCAAGGC
rnacentral:rRNA from 1 species